AACGAACGCUGGCGGCAUGCCUAACACAUGCAAGUCGAACGAGACCUUCGGGCCUAGUGGCGCACGGGUGCGUAACGCGUGGGAACCUGCCCUUAGGUUCGGAAUAACUCCCCGAAAGGGGUGCUAAUACCGGAUAAUGUCUUCGGACCAAAGAUUUAUCGCCUUUGGAUGGGCCCGCGUUGGAUUAGCUAGUUGGUAGGGUAAAAGCCUACCAAGGCGACGAUCCAUAGCUGGUUUGAGAGGAUGAUCAGCCACACUGGGACUGAGACACGGCCCAGACUCCUACGGGAGGCAGCAGUGGGGAAUAUUGGACAAUGGGCGAAAGCCUGAUCCAGCAAUGCCGCGUGAGUGAUGAAGGCCUUAGGGUUGUAAAGCUCUUUUACCCGGGAUGAUAAUGACAGUACCGGGAGAAUAAGCUCCGGCUAACUCCGUG
rnacentral:rRNA from 1 species